UUUGAUUUCCAAAGCAUUUGAAUUUAAUAAUCGUUCGAUUGUUUUUCGAUUGAUGUGACAACUAGCGACAUCACAUCAAAUCGAAUCGGAAAGUGGCAAGUGAAUUUUGACAGAUUCACAUCAGGAAAUUUCGUUGUACAUUAAAUUAUGUAAUCGUUUGUCACAAAACAAUCCAAUUAUAUUCAAUAUUUCGUAAUAAAAAUCAACAAACUUGCACUACAUUUUCAUGGUUAAAGAGCCAUUCAACGAAUUGACCAUUCAUCGGAGCAAAUGCAACAAUUCGUGACGGCGCAUUUAUCAAAAACAUCAGAUAUUCACACAGACGAAAUUGAUGAAAUACACAGAGAAGGAGAGAAUGUGCUGAUGUUGUUGGGUUGCCAAAUGGAGUGUUCAUUCAAACAGAUCUGAUUUGGAAAUUUAAAUUGAACGUCAAAGGCUACAUGAAAGAUGCAUCCCAUGAAUAAAUGGAUUUUUUUUCGUUUCCAAGAAACAAAUGUAAAAUUGACAUUAAUCGACAGCUACUAUGAUUAAACAACGAAUGUUCCGUGUCGAUGGCAAAGAAAGAUGGCCAUGUUAUUUGGGGCAAUGGCGAUAAGGAUGAAAAUUGUGUGUUCAAUUUAAAGAUUGCAGACAAUGGGCAACUCCAGGGCAAAAUUGGCUCUUCACGCAUUCUACAUCCAAUAUUGACAAGGACUGUGUACGUGUAUUCAAAAGCGAAAUUGGCUUUUGAAAAUGCCUAGCCUGCUGAUAAAUUGGCUAUCUCGGAGCGCACACAAAAUAAAUGGUCGGACGGCGUUCAGGUGUUUGCGGACAAUCAAUGCCACUUUUUCUUGUGAGGAUUUCAAGUGUGGACGGAAGAUGGAAUGAACGAAAAAGACGAAGAAAAACAAAUCCAGGCAAAGGUAGAAGUGCGAACUACACGAAGAAGUACGACGCUAAUUAUACAACCAAAAACCGAAAUACAAUUUAUUUUCUCGUCCAAUUUUGUUUCGGCUUCAUUUCAACUCACCGAAUUCGAAUGCAACAAGAAAUUUUUUUUACCGUAGCUAUUGUUCUAGAAUUUAUAUUAUCGGUAUUUAUUAUCGAGGGUCUUUGAUUUUAAUUUUUAUUAAAAACAUCGAGCACAAAUAAAAAGAAAAUGUUCAAGUAUUUAAAUGAUU